GAUGAACGCUGGCGGCGUGUCUAAGGCAUGCAAGUCGAACGGACUGACGGAGUCAGCAAUGAUUUUGUCGGUCAGUGGCAAACGGGUGAGUAACACAUUGGUAACCUGCCCCGAAGUUCGGGAUAACGGUCCGAAAGGACCGCUAAUACCGGACGUGAUCCAAGGAUGAUGUCCUUGGAGGAAAGCCCAAAAGGCGCUUCGGGAGGGACCUAUGGCUUAUCAGCUAGUUGGUAGGGUAACGGCCUACCAAGGCUAUGACGAGUAGCAGGCGUGAGAGCGCGACCUGCCUCAGUGGAACUGAGACACUGUCCACACUCCUACGGGAGGCUGCAGUCGAGAAUCUUCCUCAAUGGGCGAAAGCCUGAAGGAGCGACGCCGCGUGCGGGAUGAAGGGCUUCGGCCUGUAAACCGCUUUUACUCGGGAAGAAGCGCAAGCUGACGGUACCGAAUGAAUAAGAGGUUGCUAACUCUGUGCCAGCAGCAGCGGUAAUACAGACG
rnacentral:rRNA from 1 species